rnacentral:rRNA from 1 species
GACGAACGCUGGCGGCGUGCUUAACACAUGCAAGUCGAACGGAAAGGCCCUGCUUUUGUGGGGUGCUCGAGUGGCGAACGGGUGAGUAACACGUGAGUAACCUGCCCUUGACUUUGGGAUAACUUCAGGAAACUGGGGCUAAUACCGGAUAGGAUCUCCUGCUGCAUGGUGGGGGUUGGAAAUUUUCGGCGGUUGGGGAUGGACUCGCGGCUUAUCAGCUUGUUGGUGGGGUAGUGGCUUACCAAGGCUUUGACGGGUAGCCGGCCUGAGAGGGUGACCGGCGACAUUGGGACUGAGAUACGGCCCAGACUCCUACGGGAGGCAGCAGUGGGGAAUAUUGCACAAUGGGCGGAAGCCUGAUGCAGAAACGCCGCGUGCGGGAUGACGGCCUUCGGGUUGUAAACCGCUUUCGCCUGUGACGAAGCGUGAGUGACGGUAAUGGGUAAAGAAGCACCGGCUAACUACGUG